AAAGCCACAUUGGGCUAACUGCUAUGCCCUCGUCGGGGAAUCGAACCCCGGAUUUUAGCGCUGUAAGUCCUUGGACUUACCGAUGUCAUACCAGCGGACAUUUCGCUUGCGUGUAACGUUCUAGUUAGGGUCCCCCUGGAAAGUUAUUGGUCAAAGAUGGGAACCUGAAAUGCCAACUUCAAGUCACCAUUUCUUCAGAAAAGUUGUAACCGUACUGUUGCAGAGAUUCAAGAGUGAACUGGCGCUAUAGUCAGGGAGAUCAAGAUUCAUUCAAAAUUUUGGACAGAAUGCAGGCUACAACCAUCGAUCACUUAAGGACCGGCCACCUAAACCUCCGAACCCAUUUGAAGAAAAUUAGUUUUGCAGACACAGCACUGUAUGUUUGCAGACAAAGCAGAUCAGACCCAGGCAUAAAACUUUAUAACUGCCCCCUUUACACCAUCUAGAGACUUCGGACCUGACCAGAGGGGGCAGAAAUACACAAAAAGCUGUGAGGAUCAGUAGCGGACUUUCAUCUGACCUCCCAAUUCGUGACCUCCAACAAACUGAAGAUCUAACGAUCAGCUGAACGCUGGAGAAGAACAAAUAUAAACUCUUUCUCUGAAAUUAAAAACCCUGUCGUUGGACUGUGACCCCGAACUUUCUCCUUGCUGUUAAAAGCUAAAAUGAAUAGUACCGUUGGAUAAUUAUACAUCUGCGUACAGCUAAACAUCGUUAAGUGUGUGUGUGGUGGGGGGUGGGGGGGGGGGAAAUCAGCAUGCAUGUAGCACACUGUUUAAUGAAACAAAAAUAUUAGCAUAAAAAAUGUCAUCUUAAGCUUGAAAUUAAUAAAACACACACUGGAGGCGAGUCUUCCAUUGUCUCUCUACGAUCCAAAGUUCCAAAACAAUAUAGGAAUAAUACAUUGUAACAUUUACUGAACCCAGCUAUAGUUAAAAAAAAAUAGUUUUUUCUGUUUCGUAAUCUUAUAUAAAUUUUCGUUUUAUAUAACCGUGUUUUUUUACUUUAUUUUUGAUAACUACAUUAUUUUUCUUGCAUUUACUCAAAUUACACUUUUUAUGAUAAACAGCGAAUCAUUUUUAUACUGUUAUAAGCUACUUUUUUUUUUCUAAUGUUGUAAUCUAAAUUUAAUGUCGUAAUGAUGAUGUUAAAAUCAGAUAGGCCUAGAACACCUGGAAAAUUUUAGGGGAUUUGAACUCAAAUUUUCAGAACAUUCGAUGGAAGAUUAUAAAUAAUAGCCGGUAGAGUGAAUCAGUAAAUAUUUUUUUACGUUUUUGAUCAGUUAGUUAUAGCGUAUAGUUACUUUGCACAAAUGAGGGUUUGUUUUGUUUGUUUUUUACGUUAGUGUAGUGCAGUUAGCGUCAUAUAUAAAUGUCGCUUAAAAUCUCCCACAGUGUUCAGACGUGUAAAAACUGAAGGAAUAAAUUAAACUAAAUUUGUUAUCGUU